CUGGGCGGACGGCCGCGCCAGCGCGGGGCUGCUGCAGCCUCCGUCUCUCGUCGUGUAACGCUGGGGAUUCGCCAGAGACCGCAGCGUAUACUCGGGGCGGCAGCUCACUGUCAAGUUUAGCGGCUGCGACCUCCAGCCUGGGGUGUCACCUCAGAGGUGACGGAGCCAGACCGGGCUUUCCCUCGAAGGGCCCGCACGCGUCUCCAGAGGAGGUCGGGAGGCCCCUGGGGCGCCGUACGGACGCAGGCCGCUGCCGCGACCCGGCCCUACCUGCUCUAAAAUAACCGGGAUCCAGAGCGCCCUUUUCUGAAGUCCUUGGGGCGCGAGUGUCGCUGGCCGGCAAUUAAUUCCAGGAGAGGGGACACGGCCUUGGACCAUGCACAAAAAUACCAGGGGGCAAAUCGUGCUGAUGGAUGUGUGGUGGGCAGGCAUCAAGGGAGCAGAAGCUCACAGGCCAAUGGCAUAGGACAGCUUGGCACAUCACAAGAAGCGAUCCAGGCCUUAAAGACAAAAAGCUGAAUUCAAUAAUAGUGGUAUGGCAGAAGAUCCACUAGGGUCUACAGAGGUAGAAUCUUUUUUUUUUUUUUUUUUCCCUAGAAAAAAAAUGGUAUUAUUUGGGAGAUGGAGAGGCUAGUUUUAGCUUGCAGAGUACUCUCUUCAGCUCUUCAAUGCUUUAAAAGUCCUCAGCAGUAAGGAUAGGACAAUCUAUUAGACAAUUACCAGAUGCAAUACCAAGUAAUAAUUUAGGAGUAUUUACUAAACAUUCAUGCUAAUUUUAUGCUUUAUGGAAUUUCAUGUAUAAUUAAAUAUUGAUUUAUCUAAAGUUAAUAAUUAGUGAUACAUCGUGACAGUGACUAAUGGCAUUAAUUAAAGGCGAAAUAGAAAUGCUUCCCAGUAUUCUCCUACAGUUCACCAGAACAAAGAAUAAUGUGAAAGAAAAUAACAUUUUCUCUCUUCUGAGCCAGGGUACAAACAGCAGUGCUUCCAUCUCCAGCAAUUACUGCAUAAAGCAUAGGAGCACUUCAAAACUUUUGUCAAAAUUGUGUGAAAAAGGCACAUGUAGAUUUGUCAACAGGCUACUUUGAUUACUGCUAAAUAUUCAUUUUGUUUGUAAGAAUGCAUACUACAGUUCCUUUAGUCACAGUUACACAAAUUCUUGCCAAAUCUCUUCUUUACAGUUAGUUCUUCACUGCAGAUGGUUUAAGGAUUUACUCGGUGUGGCUUUGCAGAUAUGAUGGCAGCAAUACUAUUAAAUGCAUGUAGGAUCAGUUCUUUUCUUCAAAUAUAAGUUAAUCAUUACAAAAAAGCUAGUAAUACUUUACUAGUCUGCUGCAGUUACCAGGAGAAAAGAAACAAAUUGCUGCUUCUUGUACCUUUUUUAAUUGAAGUAAUUUUCACUGAUUUAUAGGAGAAAAAGAGAAUAAAAACAAAACAAGAAAAAGGAAAAUCCCAUGAAAUGCAAGAACCUACAAAUCAGUUUUCAGUUUUGUGCAGUUAUAAAGUUACACUACGUGUGCUGUGACUGCAUUACUGAAUGUAAAUAUGAUUCUGAAAUACUACUCUUGCAUGACAGCUGGGAGGGUUUUCUUUUCAACAAAACUGUAUUUUGCACAGAUCUUAAGGACUUAGUGAAUUCUUUGAGGGAAGCACUCUGUAAGGGAGAUAAGAAACUAUUAAAAAACAUCUCAUUAGUGGGGUACUGUUUCUGUGAUUUGCCAGUAAUGUGGAGUAACCAUCUUAUUUUCUUACAAAAAUAGAGAGGUUUUUGAAGGUGAAUUGAGAAAUUUUGAAGGUGAAUGUAUUGCCCUUUUUUAAGGUUGCACUUUCUCCCAACAGCCCUUUCAAGCAGAAAGGAAGCAAGUAUUUCCAAGGUGAAAGCAUGCAGUUUCUCUGCUCUUAAGAAAAUAAAAUAGUGAUACAUUCCAGUUUUUGUAGGAAAGCUUGCCUAAAAUCCUUUUGGAAAGAAUCCAAAGUUCACAAUCAGAUACUCCUUUGGCUAGAAGAAAAAAAUAAUUCUAUUGGCUAUUUUGCUUUUUUCAGCAGCAACUGAGUCAGACUGAAAUAUUGCUAUCGAGUCUGCAGAACUGUAUUUUCUUAUACAUGCCAUCAAAAUAUAUUAAAAAGUCAAAAUUAUUUGGAAAA